GACGUAGGGCGCGAGCGUUGUCCGGAUUUAUUGGGCGUAAAGAGCUCGUAGGCGGCUUGUCGCGUCGACUGUGAAAUCCCGAGGCUCAACUUCGGGCUUGCAGUCGAUACGGGCAGGCUAGAGUUCGGUAGGGAGACUGGAAUUCCUGGUGUAGCGGUGAAAUGCGCAGAUAUCAGGAGGAACACCGAUGGCGAAGGCAGGUCUCUGGGCCGGAAUACUGACGCUGAGGAGCGAAAGCGUGGGGAGCGAACAGG
rnacentral:rRNA from 1 species